GGUGAACGCUAGCGGCGUGCCUAAUACAUGCAAGUCGAGCGAACGGACGAGAAGCUUGCUUCUCUGAUGUUAGCGGCGGACGGGUGAGUAACACGUGGAUAACCUACCUAUAAGACUGGGAUAACUUCGGGAAACCGGAGCUAAUACCGGAUAAUAUUUUGAACCGCAUGGUUCAAAAGUGAAAGACGGUCUUGCUGUCACUUAUAGAUGGAUCCGCGCUGCAUUAGCUAGUUGGUAAGGUAACGGCUUACCAAGGCAACGAUGCAUAGCCGACCUGAGAGGGUGAUCGGCCACACUGGAACUGAGACACGGUCCAGACUCCUACGGGAGGCAGCAGUAGGGAAUCUUCCGCAAUGGGCGAAAGCCUGACGGAGCAACGCCGCGUGAGUGAUGAAGGUCUUCGGAUCGUAAAACUCUGUUAUUAGGGAAGAACAUAUGUGUAAGUAACUGUGCACAUCUUGACGGUACCUAAUCAGAAAGCCACGGCUAACUACGUG
rnacentral:rRNA from 1 species